rnacentral:rRNA from 1 species
CCUACGGGAGGCAGCAGUGGGGAAUAUUGCACAAUGGGGGAAACCCUGAUGCAGCAACGCCGCGUGAGUGAAGAAGUAUCUCGGUAUGUAAAGCUCUAUCAGCAGGGAAGUAGAAUGACGGUAGCUGACUAAGAAGCCCCUGCUAACUACGUGCCAGCAGCCGCGGUAAUACGUAGGGGGCAAGCGUUCUCCGGACUUACUGGGUGUAAAGGGAGCGUAGGCGGUUGUGCAAGUCUGAGGUGAAAGCCCGUGGCUCAACCGCGGAACUGCUAUGGAAACUGUAUAGCUUGAGUACUGGAGAGGCAGGCGGAAUUCCUGGUGUAGCGGUGAAAUGCGUAGAUAUUACGAGGAACACCAGUGGCGAAGGCGGCCUACUAGACAGAAACUGACGUUGAGGCUCGAAAGCGUGGGGAGCAAACAGGAUUAGAUACCCUUGUAGUC